rnacentral:rRNA from 1 species
UACGUAGGGUGCGAGCGUUGUCCGGAAUUAUUGGGCGUAAAGAGCUCGUAGGCGGUGUGUCGCGUCGGUCGUGAAAGCCCGGGGCUUAACCCCGGGUCUGCAUUCGAUACGGGCAGGCUGGAGUUCGGUAGGGGAGAUCGGAAUUCCUGGUGUAGCGGUGAAAUGCGCAGAUAUCAGGAGGAACACCGGUGGCGAAGGCGGAUCUCUGGGCCGAUACUGACGCUGAGGAGCGAAAGCGUGGGGAGCGAACAGG